CUCUACACAACUCUAGUGCGCCCACAACUGGACUAUUGUGUUCAGUUUUGGGCCCCUCAUUACAGAAAGGAUAUAGCCAGGUUGGAAUGGUGCAGCAUAGGGUCACAAGGAUGGUGGCCAGAUUGCAGGGAAAGCCAUUUGAGGCAAGACUGAGGGAACUG